GAUGAACGCUGGCGGCGUGCCUAAUACAUGCAAGUCGAGCGAACAGACGAGGAGCUUGCUCCUCUGACGUUAGCGGCGGACGGGUGAGUAACACGUGGAUAACCUACCUAUAAGACUGGGAUAACUUCGGGAAACCGGAGCUAAUACCGGAGAAUAUAUUGAACCGCAUGGGUCAAUAGUGAAAGACGGUUUUGCUGUCACUUAUAGAUGGAUCCGCGCCGCAUUAGCUAGUUGGUAAGGUAACGGCUUACCAAGGCGACGAUGCGUAGCCGACCUGAGAGGGUGAUCGGCCACCCUGGAACUUGGCCACGGUCCAGGCUCCUACGGGAGGCAGCAGUAGGGAAUCUUCCGCAAUGGGCGAAAGCCUGACGGAGCAACGCCGCGUGAGUGAUGAAGGUCUUCGGAUCGUAAAACUCUGUUAUUAGGGAAGAACAAAUGUGUAAGUAACUAUGCACGUCUUGACGGUACCUAAUCAGAAAGCCACGGCUAACUACGUG
rnacentral:rRNA from 1 species